AUAAUAAUAGCUAAACAAAUAGUAAGAGAGGGAGGGAGAGACGGAAUGAUCACAUGGGGCUCAUGGUGAUAACCCAAUGGUGUGAACUCCCUCCAUUCCCUUCAUUUGGGACCCUUUCCCAUUCCCAUGCAACUAACCCUUUCCACAUGCUAAUCUUAACUCUAACCCUAACCCUAAAAUAGCUAAACAAAUAGUAAGAGAGGGAGAGAGAGAGAAGGAAUGAUCACAUGGGGCUCAUGGUGAUAACCCAAUGGAGUGAACUCCCUCCAUUCCCUUCAUUUGGGACCCCUUUCCCAUUCCCAUGCAACUAAUCCUUUCCAGAUGCUAAUCUUAACUCUAACCCUAACCCUAACCCUAAUCACCCUUAAAAAUUUCCAAGGUUUUUACUACUUUAAUAGCAUGCAAAAUAAAAAAAAGAAAAACAAAAUUUUAUUAAUUUAAUUUUAAAAAAUAAAAAUAAAAAUGAUAUAUAUAAUAUUAAUAAGCGAUUUAUUGAAUACAGAGUGAUGCCAGAAAGGACCUUAUUGUGCAAUGUGAUUAAGGGACUAACAAAAAUGGACUCUAUUGUGUAAUGUGAUUAGGGUUUCUAAUAGAAAUAUAUUUUCUAAAAUCACGAGAAGGAGGAUGAAGAAUCUUUAAGACUAAAUUUAACCUAAUUUUUAUACUAAUGAUACCCCUAAUCCCUUGGCUUUUUAAUCUUCACCAAUUUGCAUAUGGCCACCAUGUCCUUGAGAUCAAGAACAAGACACACACAGUAGCCCCCUCCAAGAAAACAAGACACAGCCACAGGACAUAAGCAAGACAAAAGCAUCUUUUGGGCUCUCAACAUAGCCCAAUUUUUUAAUUAAUCAACAUCUAAAACCAUAAGAUUAAUUAAAAUUUAAAACAAAAACCCCCCUUCCUCCCCUUCUUAAUACCACGUGUCAACUUGAAGACCAAUAGGGCCCAUGGGCCCACUCUACUCCUUAUAACUCAUGGGCCCCCAAAGGAAACAUAUAGGACCACUCCCUUCCCUUCAUUCCUAUAAAGUCCUAUUCUUUGCUCCCUCUCUUUUCUCACAAACACUUGUUAAAACCCAAACCCACAACCAAAACAACAACAACAACAACAAUGUCAAGCAGGAGGAGCAGGAACAUCACUGAAGAGGAGAUCAAUGAACUCAUCUCCAAACUCCAAACUCUAUUACCGGAAUCCCGCCGCCGCGGCACCGGCCCGGGUAUCAGCAGCAAAACUAUUGAAGGAAACAUGCAACUAUAUAAAGAGCUUGCAUAAAGAGGUUGAUGAUUUAAGUGAUCGUCUUGCUGAGCUCAUGGCUACUAUGGAUAAUAAUAGUGCUCAGGCUGAGAUCAUUAGAAGCCUUCUUCGCAGUUAAAAAAAACAAAAAAAGUUUUAUUUAUAUAUAUUUUAUGUAACUCUUCUUCUCAGUGUCUCUUUUGGUAAUGUUAGCUGCUACUUGAUUAAUUAAUCUUAUUAUGAUCUUUUUUUUUUUUUUCUUGGAGGAUAUUGCUUGUAUUUUUAUUUUUAUUUUUUUAAGUAAUGUGAGAAGAGAGUGAAUGGUGUAGUGAUUAAUGGAUUAGGUGCAAAUGGUCCUGCGGAAUAUUAUUGUGUGGAUAAUUAUGCUAAACCGGUUCCGGCAGAGCAUUGGAAUGUGGUUGGAAUGGAGCGAAGUUAGUUACAGAGGACGUGAUGGGAUGGGGCCCGCUGACCUUAUCGGGUUAACGGGUUUGGUGGGGGGGUUUUAAUUUUUUUAAUUUUUAAAUUUUUUUGACUCGGAAAAGAUAAAGA